rnacentral:lncRNA from 1 species
AGAGCAGCUACUCAUGUUGGACAAUUCAGGUCUCUUCUGGAAACUGGCCUUGUAUUUGGAAUUUUCUCCAGAGUCUGAUGUGCUAAGAAAUCUUCAGAACAAACUUUUCAUAAAAGAAACUUCACUGCAAGAGUUGAAGCCUGAGCUAGAAAGUUACAAAGAAAAUAAUGUACGACAGUCGUUCCAGAUAAUGUCCCUGAAAGAUAAUAUCAAGGACCUACAGAAACUUACUGCUUCUCUAACCAGAAUUAAAUAUUUGAGAAACACCAAUAUUCAGAGGCUUCAAAGAGGCAACUGGAAUUUAACUAAAUGAAUUAUUGAGCUAGAAACUGUCUAAGAGUACGAGUACAUCUGGUUGAAAGAGAAAAGGCAGAGAGAAAAGCAGACUUUUUGGAGUUGUUGUUCUCAGGCACUAACAGAUUCAUCCCUUAUAUGCAUAUGAAUGGACAAUAAGAUUUCUUGGAUAUUUUCAUGGCAAAGCUUUCCUUCUAUGUCUUGGUUUUACACGACAAGAAGCCCAGAAACUGAACUUGCUUACUCAGCUCCCGAGGUUGAAGGUGGCAAGAAGGUGG